GGAAGUUUGGCCGAGUGGUUUAAGGCGCCAGAUUUAGGUUCUGGUAUCUUCGGAUACAUGAGUUCGAAUCUCAUAGCUUUCA
rnacentral:tRNA from 1 species